rnacentral:rRNA from 1 species
GACGAACGCUGGCGGCGUGCUUAACACAUGCAAGUCGAGCGGUAAGGCCCUUUCGGGGGUACACGAGCGGCGAACGGGUGAGUAACACGUGGGUGACCUGCCCUCAGCUCUGGGAUAAGCCUGGGAAACCGGGUCUAAUACCGGAUAUGACUCCAUGACGCAUGUUGUGGGGUGGAAAGCCUUGUGCGGCUGAGGAUGGGCCCGCGGCCUAUCAGCUUGUUGGUGGGGUGAUGGCCUACCAAGGCGACGACGGGUAGCCGGCCUGAGA